UUCGGCACAACGUGCUACUGAAAUACCAAAAUCCGCCACCAAAUGGCGGCUCCUGCAGUCUGCUGCGCUGAUAAAGAGGACUCGCCCGGCGUCGCCCAUUUUAGGCCGCUUUCACUUCGCCGCCGUCCCCCCCCGACUCCCCUUCCCAAGCCCUUCCUUUCUCUCCCGGUUUUGGGGUGCCAGGCCAGAUGAGCGUUGCCACCCUGGGGACCCGGCAGGCGCAGGCUCUGUCGGAAGCCGGCGGCGUCCCGGCGUCUUUCGGAGGCGACCUCCCCUGCCUCGGACCGCCAGCCGCCCCGCCCGGUGGCGUGAGGCUGCCAAACCUCUCGGGUGCGCCUGGCCCCGAGACCUAUUUGGGCGUCGCCUUUGGGUCUCCAGGUGUGGGCCUUUGCCCGGAUCUUGAGAUUCCUGUCGCGAAGCCACCGCCUCUUCGACACCGCCACCCAGCUAAAUGUCCUUCCCAGGGGAUUGGAGCCGUUCUUCCCAAUAAACGAGCUCAGCUGGCGGACCCUCUCCCAUCGGCCUUUCCAGUCAACCGCCCUCGAAGCGCGGCCUGGGGGAACCUUCGAGAGGGCAACGCCGUGCUUUCUUAAUAAUUCAGUUUGCAGUCUAUCCGACAAAAUCUCAAACUGCAAGGACACCCCGUUUUUGAAGGAGAAAGGGCGUAGGAUUUGAAGCCGGAGGAGGAGUCGGGGGCAAAGCGAGGCGGCUAUCUGGAACGGCACCGCAAGAAUGCGCGUCGGUGGGCUUUGCAGCCUCCCCGGACGUGGGUCCGUUUCCCACCCGCGCUGAGCUCGAGGCCCAGGGGCCGGUCGCCGUGCCUCCGCGGACGGGCAGACCUGCUGAGGUCUCGGCCGGUGGGCAAGCCUUCGGCAGGAAGGUGGCCGCCCUGGGAGGCCACGCGCACCCCGCCGUCGCCUCCCCUUGCCGCAGGUUCCGACUUUGGAGGGACGACUUCCUUUCGUCACCUCCCGAGCCCGCAGGGCCUGAGAAUCUUGCUUUCAAAUUUGGCGGGAUCCGAGUCUGCCGAACCCAGGGCGGCGCGAGGCGAGCGGCGCACGCGCAAAAUGGCCUCCCGGCGCCCCGCGGCCCUGGCUCACGCGCAGGGCCUGGCGGAGCCCCCGCGGCGCCGUGGUAACCGCGGUCUGCACUGUAGCUCUUAACGCUCCUCCGCGAGCGGCCGGUUAAAAAAUAAGGACGGGGAGCAUGGCGGUUUCCUCCUUAACGUGUCCUGUUGGUAAAGGCUCCCUGACCGGGAAGACAGCGCGGCCGGGAAGGGGAGGUCGUUUUUCUCCAGGCGGUCGUCCUGUGCCUUUUCCACCGGGCACCAAAAUAUAAGAAGCCAUUUCUUUCUUGUCUUUCUUUUUCUUUCUUUUUUUCCUUUUUUUUUUUUUAAGCCGUUGCUCUUUCCAGCCUAAUCACCCUCGCCCCCGCUUUUUCUUCCGAGCGGCGCACUGCGCUCCUGUCUUCGGCUUUGUUUGAGUGUCUUCCACUGUUGGGGGGCAUUGAGAGCAGACACUAGUUCCUGGACAGAUUUCUCUAUCUCCAGUAACCUCUUUAUCCAUCUCGGUAACGUCCUCCUUCCUUCCAUCCCAAUUUUCGACGCGUUUCCCGAGGACCCUGGUCCGAGUCUUCCAAGUCUCUGCUCUCGAUCUGAGUUCUGGCUAAGUUAGAGGGACAGAACUGACAGCACCAAAUAGGCACCGACCUUGAAAUCGUGUAUUCUGUGAAGUUUGGAUUUUAUGAUGACCCAACAAUCAGAGCAAGAAGUCAUCGUUUUCCUGAAAUGUAGGUGACUCCAAGGGAACGACACCUGCUAUUUUUGAAAGUUCCUUCUCACGUGUCUGGAAGGUAUAUUUUAAGAGAAUAAUGGGAACAAUUUAACUCAUUGGGAGUUCUGUUGAAUGCUUACUAUUUAUUUGGAGGGUUAAAUGAGAUUUCGGGAUGAGUCCUCCACAUGCACUUGAACUUAUUCAGAAAAGUCAAAAGGAUCCUAGAAUAGCCUUUGCAGUGAUAAAUGACUUGUGAUGUCGUCGACUUGAUGAAGACGAGGUUGAGAGUGGAGUCUUCAUGUGAGACCUCUAGAAAUUGCACACUAAGAAAAAGAAACUGGUGCAAAUAAAGGAAAUCCGUUUCAAGAACCAAAAGAAGAAAAAAACGUUAAAAAAAAUUAACUGCGGAAACAGGAAACACUCGACUGUGUAAACAUUUUCGGAGACUUUCAUAAUCAAAACUGGGCGAUCUUGAGAUUUGCAAGGAGACCCACAGGCUGAAGUCUCAGGUAUCAACCAGAAGAAGUCGCUGACGACCCAUUUACUGACGAUUUUCGAGGUCUAUUGGCAAAGGAAGAUUGGUGGUUACCGCUGGGGCUGCUGCUGGUUCCGUUCAUAGUACUGGAAAUGUGAGGAAACUGAGGGUGAGGAGACUGAACUGGAGUGCUGGG